UACUUCAUAAUUGUUUUACCAAAUAACGUUAUGAUGAUGUUGGCACAAAAUGUACUGUAUUUUGGACUAUAAAACACGUUUGGUGACCAGGAUCUUGCAUUUGGUGCUCGAUCAAUACAUUUCAGUACAGUAGGUUCAUCAUAUUACUUAAAUCCACACAAGUGCAAUAUAUUUGGAUUAAUCAAUUUUCAAAUGUCAAGACCAUGGUAGAAGACAAUGAUUCCAGCACAAUGAAGAUAUUGGAUAUUGAUGACGGCACGUAUAGCAUGACCAGAACAAGAGAUGGCGUUAAAUAUUCAGAUGAGCAUCCACAUUCCUGCUGCGUUUUGGUCCUCCAUUCCAGACGACAACCGUGACAGAUGAAGUGAAAAUCUGGAGGACCGUACCCGACCCUAACCCACUAAUAUAAAAAAUGCAUCAUAGGCUAUAGUCAGAGACAGCAGAAAGAUUUUUUGACAUGAUUUAGAAAUGUUUCUGCUUUUAAUUUCCAGACAUUUUGGUAGGCUAAUUGUUAGUCAACUUGUCUAUAAUUAGAUGCAUGCAGCUUCUCUUCUGUCAUUAUACUGUAUGUUGCCCUAGAACAGGGCUUCCCAAACUUGGUCCUGUGGCCCCGUUGGGUGCACGUUUUGAUUUUUGCCCUAGCACUACACAGCUGAUUCAAAUAAUCAAAGCUUGAUGGUGAGUUGGUUAUUUCAAUCAGCUGUAUAGUGCUAGGGCAAACACCAAAAGGUGCACCCAGGGGGGCCCCAGGACUGAGUUUGAGAAAUCCUGUUCUAGGAGACUAAAUAAACCCUUGCUCACCAGAGUAAUGUCAUACAUCUAUAGAAUUAAUGCUUCAAUCUUGUUGAGAUUGAUCAAGUUCUCUCUGUCAAACGUUUAGGGACCGGGGAGAAAAUGCAAUAAUCAAAAAGAAGUGAAAGAUUUUCUGUGCAGAAGUUCCAAAUGGCAUCAGUUUGACUGGUUGUAAGGAAAUAAAAAACUGUGAAAAUGA